UACGUAGGGUGCAAACGUUAAUCGGAAUUACUGGGCGUAAAGCGUACGCAGGCGGCUUUGCAAGACAGGUGUGAAAUCCCCGGGCCUAACCUGGGAACUGCAUUUGUGACUGCAUGGCUAGAGUCUGUCAGAGGGGGGUGGAAUUCCACGUGUAGCAGUGAAAUGCGUAGAUAUCAGGAGGAAUACCGAUGGCGAAGGCAGGUCUCUGGGCUAUAACUGACGCUCAUGCACGAAAGCGUGGGGAGCAAACAGG
rnacentral:rRNA from 1 species